rnacentral:rRNA from 1 species
GUUUUUUUAUUAUUAGAAUAUUUAUUUUUUUAUUUUAUGAAUUAAAAUUCCAAUAAAAAUUUGAUUUAUAUAUAUUUUAUAUUUUUAUCUAUUUAGUAAAAUUAUAUAUUAAAAAUUUUUUUAAAAUUUAAUUAUGUUAAAAUUAGUAUAAAUUUUAUUUUUUUUUUAAGGAACUCGGCAAAUAAAUUAUUCAUCUGUUUAUCAAAAACAUAGUCUUAUGGAAAUUUAUAUAAGGUGAUACCUGCCCACUGAAAUUUUUAAUGGCCGCAGUACUUUGACUGUGCUAAGGUAGCAAAAUAAAUUGACUUUUAAUUGGGGCCUUGAAUGAAAGGAUAAAUGAAUAGUUACUGUCUUAAAAAAAAUUACUACAAUUUACUUAAAAGGUGAAAAUUCCUUUAAUUUAAUUAAAUAGACAAGAAAACCCUAGGAGUUUUAAUUUUGUUGGGGCGACAGUAUAGCAUUUAACCUAUAAUAAAUUAUAAUUUAUAUAACGAAUAGUUUUAAUAAUAAACUAACUACCCUAGGGAUAACAGCAUAAUUUUAAAAAAGUUUGUGACCUCAAUGUUGGA